UCUCAGUCCACUAUUCCUGGGGACCUGCCGAGUAAAAUGUUACAUACUCCACUGAAGAGGCACAUUUCACAUAAAAUAUUCAGUCAUCAAGGAGGAAAACUGCAUAAAUAAGUACGCCCCUGCUAGAAGGAAAACACGAUGUGAACUUGUAUCAAAAGCAAACCCAAGAGCAGAGGGGAGGUGUACACUCAAUGCUGCAAGUGUACUUCAAAGUGGCUUCGCUCAACAUUUACCAUGCAGCAUGAAGCCAGGUGUGAAUAACUCCCUGGUGACUACUAGUGAAGGUGAAGGAAUUACACAGAGAAACAGGGCCAGACAGAUUUACAGAUGAAUAUUGUAAGAGACAUUCUCACGCCUGUCAUGACUCAAUAAUAUAGCAACUUAUUUAUCAGCAAUCAGAUUCUUGGGCAGGGUGAGAACAAAGCUAAUAUUUUCCCUAAGUAAAGGAAGAACCUGAUGAUGGUCAAAUAGAGACUAAGUUGCUUCUUCAAUAUUGAUUAUAAAUUAAGGUUCUGAACAAAAUCUUAUGUAAGUAUAUCAAAGAAAAGAAGAACAGUUUUAUACCUGGAAGCUGGCAAUGUUAGGAAGCUGAUUAUUGUAACUGCUAUGAUAAAUAAAUGCCCCCAA